rnacentral:rRNA from 1 species
GAUGAACGCUAGCUACAGGCUUAACACAUGCAAGUCGAGGGGCAGCAUGAACUUAGCUUGCUAAGUUUGAUGGCGACCGGCGCACGGGUGAGUAACACGUAUCCAACCUGCCGAUGACUCGGGGAUAGCCUUUCGAAAGAAAGAUUAAUACCCGAUGGCAUAGUUCUUCCGCAUGGUAGAACUAUUAAAGAAUUUCGGUCAUCGAUGGGGAUGCGUUCCAUUAGGUUGUUGGCGGGGUAACGGCCCACCAAGCCUUCGAUGGAUAGGGGUUCUGAGAGGAAGGUCCCCCACAUUGGAACUGAGACACGGUCCAAACUCCUACGGGAGGCAGCAGUGAGGAAUAUUGGUCAAUGGACGAGAGUCUGAACCAGCCAAGUAGCGUGAAGGAUGACUGCCCUAUGGGUUGUAAACUUCUUUUAUACGGGAAUAAAGUGAGGCACGUGUGCCUUUUUGUAUGUACCGUAUGAAUAAGGAUCGGCUAACUCCGUGCCAGCAGCCGCGGUAAUACGGAGGAUCUGAGCGUUAUCCGGAUUUAUUGGGUUUAAAGGGAGCGUAGGCGGACGCUUAAGUCAGUUGUGAAAGUUUGCGGCUCAACCGUAAAAUUGCAGUUGAUACUGGGUGUCUUGAGUACAGUAGAGGCAGGCGGAAUUCGUGGUGUAGCGGUGAAAUGCUUAGAUAUCACGAAGAACUCCGAUUGCGAAGGCAGCCUGCUGGACUGUAACUGACGCUGAUGCUCGAAAGUGUGGGUAUCAAACAGGAUU